rnacentral:rRNA from 1 species
UUUUAUUUGAGAGUUUGAUCCUGGCUCAGGAUGAACGCUGGCGGCGUGCCUAACACAUGCAAGUUGAGCGAUUUACUUCGGUAAAGAGCGGCGGACGGGUGAGUAACGCGUGGGUAACCUACCCUGUACACACGGAUAACAUACCGAAAGGUAUGCUAAUACGGGAUAAUAUAUUUGAGAGGCAUCUCUUAAAUAUCAAAGGUGAGCCAGUACAGGAUGGACCCGCGUCUGAUUAGCUAGUUGGUAAGGUAACGGCUUACCAAGGCGACGAUCAGUAGCCGACCUGAGAGGGUGAUCGGCCACAUUGGAACUGAGACACGGUCCAAACUCCUACGGGAGGCAGCAGUGGGGAAUAUUGCACAAUGGGCGAAAGCCUGAUGCAGCAACGCCGCGUGAGUGAUGAAGGCCUUCGGGUCGUAAAACUCUGUCCUCAAGGAAG